rnacentral:rRNA from 1 species
AUUGAACGCUGGCGGCAGGCCUAACACAUGCAAGUCGAACGAGUGGCGGACGGGUGAGUAAUGUCUGGGAACCUGCCCGAUGGAGGGGGCUAACUACUGGAAAAGGUAGCUAAUACCGCAUACCAUCGGAUCUGCCCAGAUGGGAUUAGCUAGGAGGUGGGGUAACGGCUCACCUAGGCGACGAUCCCUAGCUGGUCUGAGAGGAUGACCAGCCACACUGGAACUGAGACACGGUCCAGACUCCUACGGGAGGCAGCAGUAGGGAAUAUUGCACAAGGGGCGCAAGCCUGAUGCAGCCAUGCCGCGUGUAUGAAGAAGGCCUUCGGGUUGUAAAGUACUUUCAGCAGGGAGGCGGUACCCGAAGAAGAAGCACCGGCUAACUCCGUGCCAGCAGCCGCGGUAAUAC